rnacentral:rRNA from 1 species
GGUUUGCCGGUCUGCCGAUGGGUAUGCACUGGUAGAACUGUCCUUCCUUCCGGAGACGGCGCCUACUCUUAACUGAGCGGGUGUCGGAGACGGAUCGUUUACUUUGAAAAAAUCAGAGUGUUUCAAGCAGGCAGCUCGCUUUUGCAUGGAUUAGCAUGGGAUAAUGAAAAAGGACUUUGGUGCUAUUUUGUUGGUUUCGAACACCGAAGUAAUGAUUAAACAGGGACAGUCAGGGGCACUCGUAUUCCGCCGAGAGAGGUGAAAUUCUUAGACCAGCGGAAGACGAACCACUGCGAAAGCAUUUGCCAGGGAUGUUUUCACUGAUCAAGAACGAAAGUUAGGGGAUCGAAGACGAUCAGAUACCGUCGUAGUCUUAACCAUAAACCAUGCCGACUAAGGGAUUGGAGGAUGUUCCUAUGUGACUCCUUCAGCACCUUUCGGGAAACUAAAGUCUUUGGGUUCCGGGGGGAGUAUGGUCGCAAAGCUGAAACU